rnacentral:rRNA from 1 species
UACGAAGGGUGCAAGCGUUACUCGGAAUUACUGGGCGUAAAGCGUGCGUAGGUGGUUCGUUAAGUCUGUCGUGAAAGCCCCGGGCUCAACCUGGGAAUGGCGAUGGAUACUGGCGGGCUAGAGUGCGGUAGAGGAGAGUGGAAUUCCUGGUGUAGCGGUGAAAUGCGCAGAUAUCAGGAGGAACACCAAUUGCGAAGGCAGCUCGCUGGGACGUUACUGACGCUGAGACGCGAAAGCGUGGGGAGCAAACAGG